rnacentral:lncRNA from 1 species
AUAAAUUUAUACUUGACCUAAUAAUGAAUUUAUUAGGAUGGGCAUUCUUUUCAUUCAUGUUCUUAUGUGUCCAUGAAUCGUCCAAGGAAUUAAUAAGAUGAUGACACAUAUUCUCAAGAGUUGAGAAUUUGAGGCAUGUGUCAUUGGUGAUUAAUUUCUGAAUUGCUCCUGAUCGAUGGAUCCAUCACGAGGGACGGUGAUCGAUCCGCUGAGAUUAGUGCACAGAUCACUUAGUCA